CAAGUUGAGCGCUGAAGGUUGGUACUUGUACCAACUGGAUGAGCAGCGAACGGGUGUUUAACGCGUGGGGAAUCUGCCUUUGAGCGGGGGACAACAUUUGGAAACGAAUGCUAAUACCGCAUAAAAACUUUAAACACAAGUUUUAAGUUUGAAAGAUGCAAUUGCAUCACUCAAAGAUGAUCCCGCGUUGUAUUAGCUAGUUGGUGAGGUAAAGGCUCACCAAGGCGAUGAUACAUAGCCGACCUGAGAGGGUGAUCGGCCACAUUGGGACUGAGACACGGCCCAAACUCCUACGGGAGGCAGCAGUAGGGAAUCUUCGGCAAUGGACGAAAGUCUGACCGAGCAACGCCGCGUGAGUGAAGAAGGUUUUCGGAUCGUAAAACUCUGUUGGUAGAGAAGAACGUUGGUGAGAGUGGAAAGCUCAUCAAGUGACGGUAACUACCCAGAAAGGGACGGCUAACUACGUGCCAGCAGCCGCGGUAAUACGUAGGUCCCGAGCGUUGUCCGGAUUUAUUGGGCGUAAAGCGAGCGCAGGUGGUUUAUUAAGUCUGGUGUAAAAGGCAGUGGCUCAACCAUUGUAUGCAUUGGAAACUGGUAGACUUGAGUGCAGGAGAGGAGAGUGGAAUUCCAUGUGUAGCGGUGAAAUGCGUAGAUAUAUGGAGGAACACCGGUGGCGAAAGCGGCUCUCUGGCCUGUAACUGACACUGAGGCUCGAAAGCGUGGGGAGCAAACAGGAUUAGAUACCCUGGUAGUCCACGCCGUAAACGAUGAGUGCUAGAUGUAGGGAGCUAUAAGUUCUCUGUAUCGCAGCUAACGCAAUAAGCACUCCGCCUGGGGGAGUACGACCGCAAGGUUGAAACUCAAAGGAAUUGA
rnacentral:rRNA from 1 species